ACUGCCAGAUAUUUAUUUGCUUUGUUUUCAUAAAAACAAUGAACUCUGGAUCACCUAAGCCUUCCACUAACUCAAGCUGUUGCCCAGCAUAAAUAUUUCUGCGCCAUUUUCCAAGCAAAAAAACUGUGCUCUAAUGCGCCUAAGCUGGCACCCGAAUAAAGAAAUAAAGGCAAACCGAAAGCGAAUGUAAUCUAAUCAGUUUUGAGCACAAAUGGUCCCUGGACUUUGGGCUCUCCGCCUUGGACUUGGACUUUUGCUUGGAUGUCUUGCAAAUUAUGCGAAACCAUUUCGAAAUUGAACGCAUGACAGGCGGCUCCCCCUGUCCCCCCAGCCCCAUUUUCACCCAUAUACAAUGUGUAUAUACUAUCCCCAGCAUUACGACAUUGGUCAGCAGAAAAGUUGCAAGUCAGGCGAAUGGGCAGUGUCCUUACUGCUCUAAUAAUAAAACAGCUUGGGACAAAAGAAAAGAAAAACUAAUAAAACAAAAGUUUCCCCCAUUGCCCUCGUC